AUUGAACGCUGGCGGCAUGCCUUACACAUGCAAGUCGAACGGUAACGGGCCUUCGGGUGCCGACGAGUGGCGAACGGGUGAGUAAUGUAUCGGAACGUACCUUUCAGUGGGGGAUAACGUAGCGAAAGUUACGCUAAUACCGCAUAUUCUGUGAGCAGGAAAGGAGGGGAUCGCAAGACCUUGCGCUGAUUGAGCGGCCGAUAUCAGAUUAGCUAGUUGGUGAGGGAAAGGCUCACCAAGGCGACGAUAUGUAGCGGGUCUGAGAGGAUGAUCCGCCACACUGGAACAGCGACACGGUCCAGACUCCUACGGGAGGCAGCAGUGGGGAAUUUUGGAGAAUGGGGGCAACCCUGAUUCAGCCAUGCCGCGUGAGUGAAGAAGGCCUUCGGGCUGUAAAGCUCUUUCGGCCGGGAAGAAAUCGUAUCAGCUAAUACCUGGUGCGGAUGACGGUACCGGCAUAAGAAGCACCGGCUAACUACGUGCCAGCCGCCGCCGUAAAAC
rnacentral:rRNA from 1 species